rnacentral:misc_RNA from 1 species
GAAAUGCGAUAAGUAAUGUGAAUUGCAGAAUUCAGUGAAACAUCGAAUCUUUGAACGCACAUUGCGCCCGCCAGUAUUCUGGCGGGCAUGCCUGUCCGAGCGUCAUUUCAACCAUCAAGCCCCCGGGCUUGUGUUGGGGACCUGCGGCUGCCCGCAGGCCCUGAAAACCAGUGGCGGGCUCGCUGUCACACCGAGCGUAGUAGCAAUCACCUCGCUCAGGGCGUGCUGCGGGUUCCGGCCGUUAAACAGCCUUACAAAACCCAAGGUUGACCUCGGAUCAGGUAGGAAGACCCGCUGAACUUAAGC